rnacentral:lncRNA from 1 species
AUUGCUGUAAUAGUAAGCUAAGUUCCAUAUAACAGGAAUCCUAUGCUUUAGUAUGUUUGCUCACGCAAAGUAAUUUUGAGUUUACUAGUCGGAAAGGACCAGAGUGCAUUUGCAGAUACAGCAAAAUUUUAAGUGAUAAUUUUACUUUCUCAAAUGUUGAAGGAUGUAAUUAGUCUGAACAAUUCAUGAUUUUAAGAAUCGUUAUCAUUAAUCAACAGCUAUGCCUCUUUUAAUAAAGUGAUGAAGAGUACAGGUUUUUCAAUUAAAGUGAAAGAUUUUAAUAAAAGAAUACAAACAGUUUUAAUGGCAAUUGCGCAAAUGCGGGAACAUGACCUUGAGAUGCUAGUCGACAACAUAGUUUGGCUAAUUCUUAUGCCAGCAUACCCGAAUUGAGACAUACAUCGUUGGAGAUGAUGGCUAGGAAUCAUAUCAAAGAUGGCAAUUUCUCAGAGGUGCAUAUUUUUAUUAUGUUGACAUAAAAAUAUAUUUUUAUGUAUUUUAAAUAUUUAUUCAAUGUUAUUCUUUCAAUGAGAUUCUUAACGCAUAUUUUAAUAACAUAUACUUUUAAUUUUUAAGACUGCUUAUUAUCAAUGCAUAUAGCAGCGCUAAUGGCUGAAUAUUUGAAAUUGCGGAAAGUUCAUCCGUGGAGCGCAGAGGUUUUUGAUUAAAUUUUCAUGAACAUAUUAAAAGACGAACGGAAUCUCAAACUUAAUGUUGGUGAGAUUGUAUGUUUUUACUGUAUUACAUGUUUAUCCUUUAUUUUUAGAUGCAAGAUAUUCAAUAUAACGAAAGUUUUUUACUCAAACAAUUAGAAGUUUGUGUCGAUACGUUGGAGAAAACCGAGCAUUUCGAAUGGCAAUUGCUUGGCACUUAUAUUGUUUAAUAGUUCUCAUGUACGAAAAGAAGAAAAAUUACAAAGCUUUAGCUUACUCGCAUUUGACGCAAGCCUAUAAUAAAAUUAUAGAAAUGAUACGGACUGGAAAGAGAUUGUUCGGGAGGCUUUACAGAGUAGCAUUCUUUGGCAUGGCAUACUUUGAAGAGGAGAAUGGCCAAGAAUACAUCUAUAAAGAAUCCAAAA